GUGGCUCAGUGGUAGAGUACUUGCCUUGCAUGCAUGAGGCCCUGGGUUCGAUUUCAAGC
rnacentral:tRNA from 1 species